rnacentral:rRNA from 1 species
CCUACGGGAGGCAGCAGUGGGGAAUAUUGGGCAAUGGGCGCAAGCCUGACCCAGCAACGCCGCGUGAAGGAAGAAGGCCCUCGGGUUGUAAACUUCUUUUGUCAGGGACGAAGAAAGUGACGGUACCUGACGAAUAAGCCACGGCUAACUACGUGCCAGCAGCCGCGGUAAUACGUAGGCGGCAAGCGUUAUCCGGAUUUACGGGGUGUAAAGGGGGUGUAGGCGGGACUGCAAGUCAGAUGUGAAAUUCCAGGGCUCAACCCUGGAACUGCAUUUGAAACUGUAGUUCUUGAGUGAAGGAGAGGCAGACGGAAUUCCGUGUGUAGCGGUGAAAUGCGUAGAUAUACGGAGGAACACCAGUGGCGAAGGCGGCCUACUGGACAUUAACUGACGCUGAGGCGCGAAAGCGUGGGGAGCAAACAGGAUUAGAUACCCGUGUAGUC